GGGAGCUUGCUCCCUGAAGAUUAGCGGCGGACGGGUGAGUAACACGUGGGCAACCUGCCCGUAAGAUUGGGAUAACUCCGGGAAACCGGUGCUAAUACCGAAUAGGUUCUUUUCUCACAUGAGGAAAGAAGGAAAGUUGGCUUCCGAGCUAACACUUACGGAUGGGCCCGCGGCGCAUUAGCUAGUUGGUGAGGUAACGGCUCACCAAGGCAACGAUGCGUAGCCGACCUGAGAGGGUGAUCGGCCACACUGGGACUGAGACACGGCCCAGACUCCUACGGGAGGCAGCAGUAGGGAAUCUUCCGCAAUGGACGAAAGUCUGACGGAGCAACGCCGCGUGAGUGAAGAAGGCCUUCGGGUCGUAAAACUCUGCUGUCAGGGAAGAACAAGUACCGUUCGAAUAGGGCGGUACCUUGACGGUACCUGACCAGAAAGCCACGGCUAACUACGUGCCAGCAGCCGCGGUAAUACGUAGGUGGCAAGCGUUGUCCGGAAUUAUUGGGCGUAAAGCGCGCGCAGGCGGUCCUUUAAGUCUGAUGUGAAAGCCCACGGCUCAACCGUGGAGGGUCAUUGGAAACUGGGGGACUUGAGUGCAGAAGAGAAGAGUGGAAUUCCACGUGUAGCGGUGAAAUGCGUAGAGAUGUAGAGGAACACCAGUGGCGAAGGCGACUCUUUGGUCUGUAACUGACGCUGAGGCGCGAAAGCGUGGGGAGCAACAGGA
rnacentral:rRNA from 1 species